rnacentral:rRNA from 1 species
AGAGCGAACGCUGGCGGCAGGCUUAACACAUGCAAGUCGAGCGGGCGUAGCAAUACGUCAGCGGCAGACGGGUGAGUAACGCGUGGGAACGUACCUUUUGGUUCGGAACAACCCAGGGAAACUUGGGCUAAUACCGGAUAAGCCCUUACGGGGAAAGAUUUAUCGCCGAAAGAUCGGCCCGCGUCUGAUUAGCUAGUUGGUGAGGUAAUGGCUCACCAAGGCGACGAUCAGUAGCUGGUCUGAGAGGAUGAUCAGCCACAUUGGGACUGAGACACGGCCCAAACUCCUACGGGAGGCAGCAGUGGGGAAUAUUGGACAAUGGGCGCAAGCCUGAUCCAGCCAUGCCGCGUGAGUGAUGAAGGCCCUAGGGUUGUAAAGCUCUUUUGUGCGGGAAGAUAAUGACGGUACCGCAAGAAUAAGCCCCGGCUAACUUCGCGCCAGAAGCCGC